CAUAAGCCAGCUUGACUGCGAGCGUGACGGCGCGAGCAGGUGCGAAAGCAGGUCAUAGUGAUCCGGUGGUUCUGAAUGGAAGGGCCAUCGCUCAACGGAUAAAAGGUACUCCGGGGAUAACAGGCUGAUACCGCCCAAGAGUUCAUAUCGACGGCGGUGUUUGGCACCUCGAUGUCGGCUCAUCACAUCCUGGGGCUGAAGUAGGUCCCAAGGGUAUGGCUGUUCGCCAUUUAAAGUGGUACGCGAGCUGGGUUUAGAACGUCGUGAGACAGUUCGGUCCCUAUCUGCCGUGGGCGCUGGAGAACUGAGGGGGGCUGCUCCUAGUACGAGAGGACCGGAGUGGACGCAUCACUGGUGUUCGGGUUGUCAUGCCAAUGGCACUGCCCGGUAGCUAAAUGCGGAAGAGAUAAGUGCUGAAAGCAUCUAAGCACGAAACUUGCCCCGAGAUGAGUUCUCCCUGACUCCUUGAGAGUCCUGAAGGAACGUUGAAGACGACGACGUUGAUAGGCCGGGUGUGUAAGCGCAGCGAUGCGUUGAGCUAACCGGUACUAAUGAACCGUGAGGCUUAACCUUACAACGCCGAAG
rnacentral:rRNA from 1 species